GAUGAACGCUGACAGAAUGCUUAACACAUGCAAGUCGAUUCGAUUUACCUUCGGGUAUUGAGGAUGGCGGACGGAUGAGUAACGCGUAAGGAACUUGCCUCUUGGUCUGGGACAACUGUUGGAAACGACAGCUAAUACCGGAUAUUAUGAGAUUCUCGCAUGGGAAACUUAUGAAAGCUAUAUGCGCCAAGAGAGAGCCUUGCGUUCCAUUAGCUAGUUGGUGGGGUAACGGCCCACCAAGGCGACGAUGGAUAGCCGGCCUGAGAGGGUGAACGGCCACAAGGGGACUGAGACACGGCCCUUACUCCUACGGGAGGCAGCAGUGGGGAAUAUUGGACAAUGGGCCACAAGCCUGAUCCAGCAAUUCUGUGUGCACGAUGAAGGUCUUCGGAUUGUAAAGUGCUUUCAGUUGGGAAGAAGAAAGUGACGGUACCAACAGAAGAAGCGACGGCUAAAUACGUGCCAGCAGCCGCGGUAAUACGUAUGUCGCAAGCGUUAUCCGGAUUUAUUGGGCGUAAAGCGCGUCUAGGCGGAAAAAUAAGUCUGAUGUUAAAAUGCGGGGCUCAACUCCGUAUUGCGUUGGAAACUGUUUUUCUAGAGUACUGGAGAGGUGGGCGGAACUACNAGUGUAGAGGUGAAAUUCGUAGAUAUUUGUAGGAAUGCCGAUGGGGAAGUCAGCUCACUGGNCAGAUACUGACGCUAAAGCGCGAAAGCGUGGGGAGCAA
rnacentral:rRNA from 1 species